GAUGAAGAACGUAGCGAAAUGCGAUAAGUAAUGUGAAUUGCAGAAUUCAGUGAAUCAUCGAAUCUUUGAACGCACAUUGCGCCCGCCAGUAUUCUGGCGGGCAUGCCUGUUCGAGCGUCAUUUCAACCAUCAAGCCCCAGGCUUGUGUUGGGGACCUGCGGCUGCCGCAGGCCCUGAAAACCAGUGGCGGGCUCGCUGUCACACCGGGCGUAGUAGAUUUUAUCUCGCUCAGGGCGUGCUGCGGGUUCCGGCCGUUAAAAAGCCUUUUUUACCCAAGGUUGACCUCGGAUCAGGUAGGAAGACCCGCUGAACUUAAGCAUAUCAAUAAUCGGCCGA
rnacentral:misc_RNA from 1 species